UACAGAGGGGGCAAGCGUUGUUCGGAAUUAUUGGGCGUAAAGAGCUCGUAGGCGGCUUGUCACGUCGAUUGUGAAAGCCCGAGGCUUAACCUCGGGUCUGCAGUCGAUACGGGCUAGCUAGAGUGUGGUAGGGGAGAUCGGAAUUCCUGGUGUAGCGGUGAAAUGCGCAGAUAUCAGGAGGAACACCGGUGGCGAAGGCGGAUCUCUGGGCCGUAACUGACGCUGAGGAGCGAAAGCGUGGGGAGCGAACAGG
rnacentral:rRNA from 1 species